rnacentral:rRNA from 1 species
GCCUAGGAAUCUGCCUGGUAGUGGGGGAUAACGUCCGGAAACGGGCGCUAAUACCGCAUACGUCCUGAGGGAGAAAGUGGGGGAUCUUCGGACCUCACGCUAUCAGAUGAGCCUAGGUCGGAUUAGCUAGUUGGUGGGGUAAAGGCCUACCAAGGCGACGAUCCGUAACUGGUCUGAGAGGAUGAUCAGUCACACUGGAACUGAGACACGGUCCAGACUCCUACGGGAGGCAGCAGUGGGGAAUAUUGGACAAUGGGCGAAAGCCUGAUCCAGCCAUGCCGCGUGUGUGAAGAAGGUCUUCGGAUUGUAAAGCACUUUAAGUUGGGAGGAAGGGCAGUAAGUUAAUACCUU